rnacentral:ncRNA from 1 species
UAACAAGGGGAGCUUGUAUGACAGGCUGAGAGGAAGUUAGGAACUUCGACCCACGACCUGAUCUGGAUAAUGCCAGCGUAGGGAUUUAU